rnacentral:rRNA from 1 species
GAUGAACGCUAGCGACAGGCUUAACACAUGCAAGUCGAGGGGCAGCAUAAAAGUAGCAAUACUUUGGUGGCGACCGGCGCACGGGUGAGUAACGCGUAUGCAACCUACCUAUCAGAGGGGAAUAACCCGGCGAAAGUCGGACUAAUACCGCAUAAAACAGGGGCACCGCAUGGUGAUAUUUGUUAAAGAAAUUCGCUGAUAGAUGGGCAUGCGUUCCAUUAGGUAGUUGGUGAGGUAACGGCUCACCAAGCCGACGAUGGAUAGGGGAACUGAGAGGUUGGUCCCCCACACUGGUACUGAGACACGGACCAGACUCCUACGGGAGGCAGCAGUGAGGAAUAUUGGUCAAUGGACGGAAGUCUGAACCAGCCAUCCCGCGUGCAGGAUGACUGCCCUAUGGGUUGUAAACUGCUUUUAGCAGAGACGAAACGCCUUCAUUUAUGAGGUCUGACGGUAUCUGCAGAAUAAGCACCGGCUAACUCCGUGCC